CAUAAAAUUAUAUAACAUGUUGGUUUGAUGCAUAGGAAAUAGGCUACGAGCAAUGUGACUAGGGGUGGAAAUAGGUCGAGCCGAGCCAAGCUUUGUGUGGCCUAGGCCUGGCCUGCAUUCUCUUUUGGUGGCCCAAGCCUGGCCUGUGGCCUAUCAAUAGACCAAAUUUUAUG
rnacentral:pre_miRNA from 1 species